GUAAAAAUAAGAAAAAAUAGUAAGAUUAUCAAUACUGUAAAGUAUGAGUAAACGAACAGAAAGAUACUAUAACAAAGUGACUGAGUUUGGUUCCCAUUUAAAUACCGAUUUUAGUGUCCAGCAGGGUCCCCAGGCUAAUAAGACUGAUACAAAUAAUUUAAAAAAAAAAAAAUUGUUGUUUAUAAGAAAAGAGAUUUUUGAUCAUGCUAUAGUUUAUACAACAAACAAACUAGAUGAAAUUUCUUUAAUAAAUUAUUUGAAGCAUUUUUAUGCUCACUUUAAAAAAAAAAAAAUAAACGUUAGUGAUAAUACUAGUGUUAGCAGUACUAGUGACAGUAUUAGUGAUAGUAUUGGUACCAAUACUAAUAUUAACACCAAUACUAAUAUUAACACCAAUACUAAUAUUAACACCAAUACCAAUAUCAAUACCAAUACCAAUAGCAAUAUCAAUAUCAAUACCAAUACCAAUACCAGUAACUACCACAAAUUGUCAAGCGAAGAAAUUUAUAUAAGUCUCGAAGACUGGAUUGCAUAUAACGAAUUAAUAAAAAAUCAGGAUAAUGCUUUAUUAACUUUUUUUACUUUGCAUAUUUGUAAGUCUUUGUGGAUAUUGUUAAGUAUAACAUUACAGAGUGUAAGAAAAAAAAAUAACUUAAAAAAGCAAAGGACUAUAUUUAAUACUCCAAUAAAUAAGUUUCAUUUAUUAAAAUUUGAUAGCGAAGUAGAUAGCGAAGUAGAUAGCGGAGUAGAUAGCAAAGUAUAUAGCGAAGUAUAUAGCAAACUAAACGAAAAAGAGAAAAAAAAUACCUUUUCAUUUUAUUUUAAGGAUACAUAUAAAAGCAGCAACAAUAUAGCAGUCAAUGAUUAUAAAUACAAAAACACGUUAAAUGAAAAUGAUAAUAAAAACGACAUACAAGAUCAAACAAAAGAAACUGUGACACAUUCCAUACAUAAUUGUCAUCAAAACAAUCAAAAAGAAACUAAUCAAAAAAAUCAAAAUAAUGAUGAAUUUUUAUCUAUUUGGGAGGAAAACUGGUUAAAUGAUUAUAUAUGUAUUGAAAUAGUAAUAUUUUUUAUUAUUCUUCAAUUUCUUAAAAUAGAGAAUGUAAAAAAAAAUUAUGAUAAAAUGUUAAGUGAAGAAUGUUGGCCCCAUUUUAUUGACUCACAUAAAAUUAAUAAUAGCGGUAGUACUAUUAACAGUAAUGUGAGUACUACUACUACUAAUACUAAUACUACUACUACUUCUGUUGGAAAUACCAAUAGUAACAACAUCUAUUUUAAUAAUUUAAAUACUUCUUCUGUAUAUAAAACAAAUUUAUCUGAUUUUUUUAAUUAUAAUGAAAACAACUAUAAACUAUUUUUACGAACUUAUUUGAUAGCCUUUUUGGCUUGCACUGAUAUAACAAAUAUUAUUACACUAACUGAAACACCAUUAUAUUUUAACCGAUAUCAUUUUUUAAUGUUAGAUUUUAUAAUAGAUACAAAUAAUAAUACUAAUGUAUAUGAAACCUUUUUAUUAACGAACGAACAAAAAGUUUUAUAUAAAACGAAACAUAUAUUAACAUGGUUAUUAGAUAAUUUAUGUAUUUCAAAUGAAAGUAAAAAUUCGACUGUUUCUUGUAACAGCGCAAUACAAACGUCGUUACAUUUGGAUUUUCCAAUUAGCAAAAGUUUAGGUGUAGAAAAUGUUGAAGAAGAAAAACAUUACGCAAAUACUAAGUAUGAUGGUAACAGUAGGCACUACAUCAACCUGAUAGAUGAUGACAUAUAUGAAAUUAAAAAUGUACAUGGAAAAACGAUAGUUAUAAAUGGUAAUGACAGUAUUAGCAGCAACAGCAACAGCAACAGCAACAGCAACAGCAACAGCAACAGCAACAGCAACAGCAACAGCAACAGUAACAGUAACAGUAACAACAAAAACAUUAUAAACAUAAUUAACUGCAAAGAAUGUAACAUAUUUAUAUUAUCAAAGAUAGAAUAUUUUAAAAUAAAUUUUUGUUCUUAUUGUUAUAUUAUUGUUUUAUCAGUUGAAAUGAUUGCAACCUUAUUAAACUCCAACAAUAUAGACAUUCAUUUAGUAACAAGAAAUUUAAAAAUUGAAAAUGUUAUAGAUACUAAUGCUUAUGUAUAUACUGAAACAAAUAUUAUAAUAUAUGGCGAUACAAGAAAUAUUCAACUAGCACCUUUUAACAUAUUAAAUACUAAUCAAAAAAAAUGUCUACAGGAUGCUAAAAUAUCUUUUAAUGAAAAAUGUUGUGAACUUUUUGCAUAUCCACUAAAAUGUAAAACUAAUAUAGCACAUUUAAGUAAUUCAGGUAUACUGUCCUUAAAAAAAAAUAAUACUGUUGAUAAUCUUUAUAUAUGUAGUAGUAACUUAGAUGAUGGUAACAAUUUUCGUGUUCGUCGUCAUAGUAGUACUCGAAACUUUUUGUUGCCACUUCAUGUUAACGAGAAUGAAAACGACAACAUUAGCAGUUAUAAUAAUCGUUGCAACAGUAGUGCUACCACUACUACUACUACUACUACUAUUACUACUACUACUACUACUACCACUGCUGCUACUACUACUCCUGCUGCUACUACUACUCCUGCUGCUACUACUACUCCUGCUACUAGUAACAGUAGUAGUAAAAAAUAUAACAACAAUCAUAGUGACUAUUCAACUAAUAAACAUAUAUUUAAUGAGAACAAUGAUAUAACAGACUAUCAAUCAAGAGGUUCAAGUAAAAACCUUUUUGAUAAUUUUAAUUUGGGUAAUACUUUUACUGACUAUGUUUAUUAUUUGCUAGAUCCGAGUAAAUUUUUUAUAGUUGAAUUUUCAAAUACAGAAUUGAACGAUAAUAUUGAUGGUACUAACAAAGCAUAUGACAAUAAUUAUAAGUAUGACACAUGUAGUAGUAUUUAUAACACAAACAAUUAUUAUAAAAAUUUCAACUCUUGUAAUGAUAUAAACUGCGAAAAUAAAAAUGAUAGAAACAGGGCCAUAUAUAACAUAAGUGAUUAUAUAAAUAAAAAAAAAAAUGAUAAAUAUGUUUGUUUAUAUUUACCAGAAGUUUAUAAACAUGCAAUUGAAAAUCAGGAUAAACAUAUUCUCAGUUUUUUGAAUUUUAUGAAUAAUAUAAAAUUAACUAAAAUACAGAAGCAAAAAGUGACUAAAAUAUUGACAUAUAAAUUAUAUGAAUAUAUUAAGAGAUCUAAAAAAACGUUUAGGCAAUUAUCUAGUUUGGUUUCGCAUGAACAUGAUAGUAGAGGAAUUUUAUUUAGUAACGAAUUUUAGCCGCUGUAGUUAAGCACAACUUGGGCACAAAUGUACUUACAUUUAUCUACAUACAUAU
rnacentral:lncRNA from 1 species